rnacentral:lncRNA from 1 species
AAGCAAUGUGAAAGUAGGGAUGCUUAAGAAAAUUUGGAAUAGUCAAAACAACAAGGCAACAGAGGCUUAUUCCAUGCAUCAUUUUGGUUCUAUUAGCAAGAUAACUACAUUGAACUCUAUACUCAGUAUAAAUGGAAAAUUAAGAUCUUAUUUUUUAUAAGAAUUGAAAAUUUGACCGAAAUAUAAAACAAUCAAAUUGAUACUCUUUAUCACAGUAAACGUCAAUACGCUAAGAGACGUAGCACUAUACUGAUUUUUUAAAGGCUUUGAUGCCUUCUAACUACUACGGCCUUCUGGAACGAAACAAAAACACUUAUGAACUAACCUUUGACCAAUGAGAGUAGUCAACAAAACUUUUAAGUUUUUACUACAUAUCUAGAUAUUUAGAAGUAUAUAUUUGGAAUAAAUAUAAAUCGUGGUAAAUUAAUCAAUGAUCGAAUAUAUUAUAAUGAAGAGUUUAUAGAAAUAUAAACUUAAAUAAAUGAAGCACAUAAGUAAAUACAUAUUUCCAUCACACUUAUUUACAAUUGAUAAAUAAGAAAAUAAUUUUAAUUGUUAAUGUCAUUUUAAUAUGCUUAACAUUUGUCAAAUAACAUUAUCGAUUAUUUAGUGUCAA